UGGUUAUUGCCUUUUGUUUGCUGACACAAAUUGUGAAUCAGUAGUAAAGUAAUGAAACUCAAACAAUUUUCACCUGCAACAAACUGUAGAUCUAAAAUUGUUUUAAGCCAAAUAUUCUCAAAUUAUUGACUGUUUUUCUUGUCAUUAUCACCCAAAGGGUAGACCAUAACAGCUGCAUACAUAGCAUUUCUAUGGCAUCACAUGAGUAACCCAUGUGUGAUUUAAGGUAGUAUGUGGUGGAUAUUAGUAGGUUAUUGGUAAAUAAUACACAUACACACUGUGAGGGACUGAGCUUUUACAGUCUGGGUAUCCUCCUGAGGUGCCCACAAACAAUUGCCAAUGAAUGCCAAGGGACAACUGUACAUGUGUUUAUAUUUAGCAUUUUAUUUGGACUCUGUAGACGUCUUCCUAAGAAUCGCACUUACCACAUAGUACAAUAAUUAAUUUUCGAUUUUUUUAUUAGUGCAUCAGGAAGGGCCUGCUCAGAGCCCCGCCCCGCUCCGCCCCGCCCCGCCUGUCACCAGCUGUGGAUCAACCACCGUGUCCAGGGCCGCCUGGGUGUCCAGGGCCGCCUGGGUGUCCAGGGCCGCCUGGGUGUCCAGGCCAGCGCCACGCCAUGCUGACUCUCCUGCUGAUCCUCUCGGGCCUGGGCCGUCUGGCCGCCUCCUUCCGCUCGCGUAAGGAGGAUACUGAGCACUGGAGGCGCCGCCCCUGCCGGCUGUGCAGCCUCGGGCGUGGCGGGAGACCUGGGCGGGAUGCGGAUUGGGCUCCGACAGCUCCUACGGGACCCGGGUCGGCCCGCCGCCCCGCCCCGCGGAAAGAAAGGCGCCCCCGGGCGGCGCAGCCCGCUCCACUCUCGGCCCACGCCGCAGCCAGCAACGCGGGGUCCUCGCCCCAGAGCCGCCGGGGGCCGAAGCGCGCGCGGGAUGCAGGGGCUUGGAGGAGUGAGGAGGAGCAGAGGUGCGGGACGGGUGGAGACCGAGGACGCCGCCCACGGGGAAGCUCAUGGGUGUUUCCUCGCUGCAGAUUCUGAGAAACUGCAAAUGACGGUGCCAGACAGGGUGGUGAGUGAUGAGGAUUUCGACGCGCAGGCAGAGCAGGUACUGAGUGUCAAGAAUUUAAGCGACCUCCUGUCUACUGCAGCUUAUGGCUCAAGUAUGCAUACAACAAUAUGA
rnacentral:lncRNA from 1 species